rnacentral:rRNA from 1 species
CCUACGGGAGCUGCAGUGGGGAAUAUUGGACAAUGGGGGCAACCCUGAUCCAGCCAUGCCGCGUGUGUGAAGAAGGCCCUCGGGUUGUAAAGCACUUUCAGUGAGGAAGAACGCCUGGUGGUUAAUACCCAUCAGGAAAGACAUCACUCACAGAAGAAGCACCGGCUAACUCCGUGCCAGCAGCCGCGGUAAUACGGAGGGUGCGAGCGUUAAUCGGAAUUACUGGGCGUAAAGCGCGCGUAGGUGGCUUGAUAAGCCGGUUGUGAAAGCCCCGGGCUCAACCUGGGAACGGCAUCCGGAACUGUCAAGCUAGAGUGCAGGAGAGGAAGGUAGAAUUCCCGGUGUAGCGGUGAAAUGCGUAGAGAUCGGGAGGAAUACCAGUGGCGAAGGCGGCCUUCUGGACUGACACUAACACUGAGGUGCGAAAGCGUGGGUAGCAAACAGGAUUAGAUACCCUAGUAGUC